CCCUCAUAAACGGAUUUGUGCAAUUAUUUUAAGAUUAUAUUAAGAAAGGGAGCAUAGGGCUCUGCCCCAUGACAUACAGUCCCUUUCCACAAUGUUGGAGAUGAAGCUGGGCUACCAGUCUGCCUGCAUAUUCCUACAACUUCUCAGAAUUCCGUGGACCGUGACUGAGGAGACAAACCAUGCAGGAAACAGUC
ensembl:snoRNA SNORA73 Small nucleolar RNA SNORA73 family